rnacentral:rRNA from 2 species
GAUUGAACUUAAGAGUUUGAUCCUGGCUCAGAUUGAACGCUGGCGGCAUGCCUAACACAUGCAAGUCGAACGGUAACAGGUCUUCGGAUGCUGACGAGUGGCGGACGGGUGAGUAAUGCGUAGGAAUCUGUCUUUUAGUGGGGGACAACCCAGGGAAACUUGGGCUAAUACCGCAUGAGCCCUGAGGGGGAAAGCGGGGGAUCUUCGGACCUCGCGCUAAGGGAGGAGCCUACGUCUGAUUAGCUAGUUGGUAGGGUAAAGGCCUACCAAGGCGACGAUCAGUAGCUGGUCUGAGAGGACGACCAGCCACACUGGGACUGAGACACGGCCCAGACUCCUACGGGAGGCAGCAG